UGUAACUGGGGCUUGUGGUAGAGAGAUGAUUGGUCAGGUGAAACUGGGGCUUGUGGUAGAAAGAUGAUUGGUCAGGUGAAACUGGGGCUUGUGGUAGAAAGAUGAUUGGUCAGGUGUAACUGGGGCUUGUGGUAGAAAGAUGAUUGGUCAGGUGUAACUGGGGCUUGUGGUAGAAAGAUGAUUGGUCAGGUGUAACUGGGGCUUGUGGUAGAAAGAUGAUUGGUCAGGUGUAACUGGGGCUUGUGGUAGAAAGAUGAUUGGUCAGGUGUAACUGGGGCUUGUGGUAGAAAGAUGAUUGGUCAGGUGUAACUGGGGCUUGUGGUAGAAAGAUGAUUGGUCAGGUGUAACUGGGGCUUGUGGUAGAAAGAUGAUUGGUCAGGUGUAACUGGGGCUUGUGGUAGAAAGAUGAUUGGUCAGGUGUAACUGGGGCUUGUGGUAGAAAGAUGAUUGGUCAGGUGAAACUGGGGCUUGUGGUAGAAAGAUGAUUGGUCAGGUGAAACUGGGGCUUGUGGUAGAAAGAUGAUUGGUCAGGUGAAACUGGGGCUUGUGGUAGAAAGAUGAU